rnacentral:rRNA from 1 species
AUUGAACGCUGGCGGCAGGCUUAACACAUGCAAGUCGAACGAGCGGCGGACGGGUGAGUAAUUCUUGGGUAUCUCGCUUAUGGAGGGGGAUAACUACGGUGCACCGUAGCCAAUACCGCGUACCAACGGAUGAGCCCAAGUGGGAUUAGGUAGUUGGGUAGGUAAAGGCUCACCAAGCCGAAGAUCUCUAGCUGGUCUGAGAGGAUGACCGGCCACACUGAGACGGAGACACGGCCCAGACUCCUACGGGAGGCAGCAGUGGGGAAUAUUGCGCAAUGGGGGCAACCUGACGCAGCCAUGCCGCGUGAAUGAAGAAGGCCUUCGGGUUGUAAAGUUCUUUCGGUAGCGAGGCGUUAACUACAGAAGAAGCACCGGCUAACUCCGUGCCAGCAGCCGCGGUAAUAC